GUGGGGAAUAUUGGACAAUGGGCGAAAGCCUGAUCCAGCCAUGCCGCGUGUGUGAAGAAGGUCUUCGGAUUGUAAAGCACUUUAAGUUGGGAGGAAGGGCAGUAAGUUAAUACCUUGCUGUUUUGACGUUACCGACAGAAUAAGCACCGGCUAACUUCGUGCCAGUAGCCGCGGUAAUACGAAGGGUGCAAGCGUUAAUCGGAAUUACUGGGCGUAAAGCGCGCGUAGGUGGUUUUGUAAGUUGGAGGUGAAAUCCCCGGGCUCAACCUGGGAACUGCCUCCAAAACUGCAUGACUAGAGUACGGUAGAGGGUAGUGGAAUUUCCUGUGUAGCGGUGAAAUGCGUAGAUAUAGGAAGGAACACCAGUGGCGAAGGCGACUACCUGGACUGAUACUGACACUGAGGUGCGAAAGCGUGGGGAGCAAACAGGAUUAGAAACCCUAGUAGUCC
rnacentral:rRNA from 1 species